AAUUUGAGAGGAGCUGUCCUUAGUACGAGAGGACCGGGAUGGACAUACCUCUGGUGUACCAGUUGUCGUGCCAACGGCAUAGCUGGGUAGCUAUGUAUGGACGGGAUAAGUGCUGAAAGCAUCUAAGCAUGAAGCCCCCCUCAAGAUGAGAUUUCCCAACUUCGGUUAUAAGAUCCCUCGAAGAUGACGAGGUUAAUAGGUUCGAGGUGGAAGCGUGGUGACACGUGGAGCUGACGAAUACUAAUCGAUCGAAGACUUAAUCAA
rnacentral:rRNA from 1 species